UACGUAGGGUGCGAGCGUUAAUCGGAAUUACUGGGCGUAAAGCGUGCGCAGGCGGUUCGACAAGUCCGAUGUGAAAGCCCCGGGCUCAACCUGGGAAUGGCAUUGGAAACUGGCGGGCUGGAGUGUGGCAGAGGGGGGUGGAAUUCCGCGUGUAGCAGUGAAAUGCGUAGAGAUGCGGAGGAACACCGAUGGCGAAGGCAGCCCCCUGGGCUGACACUGACGCUCAUGCACGAAAGCGUGGGGAGCAAACAGG
rnacentral:rRNA from 1 species